CACCCCAUCAAGCCUGGCUUGGUCUUAGGUGUCGGGGCCUCCCGCACCCCAAUUUCGCCGGCUGGACGACUACGAAUCUCGAGCGCUGUGACGUACGGUCGCGAGGGAGGAGCGGGCGCCUAUGCCGUUAAACACGUUUUUUAA
rnacentral:misc_RNA from 1 species